rnacentral:rRNA from 1 species
AUUGAACGCUGGCGGCAGGCUUAACACAUGCAAGUCGAGCGGUAGCACAAGAGAGCUUGCUCUCUGGGUGACGAGCGGCGGACGGGUGAGUAAUGUCUGGGAAACUGCCUGAUGGAGGGGGAUAACUACUGGAAACGGUAGCUAAUACCGCAUAACGUCGCAAGACCAAAGAGGGGGACCUUCGGGCCUCUUGCCAUCAGAUGUGCCCAGAUGGGAUUAGCUAGUAGGUGGGGUAAUGGCUCACCUAGGCGACGAUCCCUAGCUGGUCUGAGAGGAUGACCAGCAACACUGGAACUGAGAAACGGUCCAGACUCCUACGGGAGGCAGCAGUGGGGAAUAUUGCACAAUGGGCGCAAGCCUGAUGCAGCAUGCCGCGUGUGUGAAGAAGGCCUUCGGGUUGUAAAGCACUUUCAGCGAGGAGGAAGGUGGUGAACUUAAUACGUUCAUCAAUUGACGUUACUCGCAGAAGAAGCACCGGCUAACUCCGUG